rnacentral:rRNA from 1 species
GAUGAACGCUAGCGGCAGGCUUAAUACAUGCAAGUCGAGGGGCAGCAGGGGUGUAGCAAUACACUUGCUGGCGACCGGCAAACGGGUGCGGAACACGUACGCAACUUACCCUGAACUGGGGGCUAGCCCGGGGAAACGCGGAUUAAUACCCCGUAACACUGUGAGGUGGCAUCACCUUAUAGUUAUAGCUCCGGUGGUUCAGGAUGGGCGUGCGGCUGAUUAGGUAGUUGGUUGGGGUAAUGGCCCACCAAGCCUACGAUCAGUAACUGGUGUGAGAGCACGAACAGUCACACGGGCACUGAGACACGGGCCCGACUCCUACGGGAGGCAGCAGUAAGGAAUAUUGGGCAAUGGAGGCAACUCUGACCCAGCCAUGCCGCGUGGAGGAUGAAGGCCCUCUGGGUUGUAAACUUCUUUUACCUGGGACGAAACCUUUAUUUUCUAAGGGAGUUGACGGUACCAGGGGAAUAAGCACCGGCUAACUCCGUGCCAGCAGCCGCGGUAAAAC